GAUGAAGAACGCAGCGAAAUGCGAUAAGUAAUGUGAAUUGCAGAAUUCAGUGAAUCAUCGAAUCUUUGAACGCACAUUGCGCCCGCCAGUAUUCUGGCGGGCAUGCCUGUCUGAGCGUCAUUUCAACCCUCAAGCAACUUCUGCUUGGUGUUGGGGAUCGGCCGUCAAACGCCGCCCCCGAAAUCUAUUGGCGAUCUCGCUGUAGCUUCCUAUGCGUAGUAGUAACAUCUCGCAUCUGGAGAGCGGCGCGGUCAUGCCGUAAAACACCCAACUUCUCGGGUUGACCUCAGAUCAGGUAGGAAUACCCGCUGAACUUAAGCAUAUCAAUAAGCGGAGGA
rnacentral:misc_RNA from 1 species